GAUGAACGCUGGCGGCGUGCCUAACACAUGCAAGCCGAACGGAGUCCAGCCUUUAAGACCUUCGGGUCAAAGAGGGGAAGACUGAGUGGCGGACGGGUGAGUAACACGUGGGCAACCUGGCUCAUAGAGGGGGAUAACAGAGAGAAAUUUCUGCUAAUACCGCAUAAGCACACACUGCCGCAUGGCAGAGGGUGAAAAGAGAAUCGCUAUGAGAUGGACCCGCGUCUGAUUAGCCAGUUGGCAGGGUAAGAGCCUACCAAAGCGACGAUCAGUAGCCGAUCUGAGAGGAUGAACGGCCACAGUGGGACUGAGACACGGCCCAAACUCCUACGGGAGGCAGCAGUGGGGGAUAUUGCACAAUGGGGGGAACCCUGAUGCAGCGACGCCGCGUGAGUGAAGAAGUAUUUCGGUAUGUAAAGCUCUAUCAGCAGGGAAGAUAAUGACAGUACCUGAAUAAGAAGCCCCGGCUAACUACGUG
rnacentral:rRNA from 1 species